UCAAUGGAAGCAGUUACGUCCACUUAGAUUCGUAAAAAAAACUUUAAAGUGGAAAGUAGUUGUUUUUUUUUCUUAGUGCAUUACAAAAGACGAGGGCAUUUCUUCUGAAUCUGGGGCAGUACUAAAAAGUAAAGACAGCCUUUGACAAUGGUCCCCGUGACUCUUAUCCUUCUGUUGUGCUUGUUACUAGCGGCCACUGCAUAUGUCCUGGACGAACAGUAUAUAAAUCUGGCUACUUUGAAAAGAUCGCCCAUGGAUAUGGCUAUGAUGCAGAUGUACAGAAUUUGUGAUCAAGACAAAAAUGGCCUAUUUACACGGCUAGAGUUACAGUGCGUUCAGAAAGUCCUAAACAUCCUUUUUACUGGCCGAUGAGAACUGAAGACCUAAGACGCUAGCAAGGACUGAAGCUUCUGAUCUUGAGCUUAAUAAAAGUCUGUCCUAUACGUUAACGAUCACAUUGUUUAGU
rnacentral:sRNA from 1 species